UAUUAUUUAAUUAAAUUUUUUCUUAAAAGUAUUAGUUUUUAUAAAUUGAAAUUUAAAAAAUUUGGCAGUAUUUUAUUCUAUUUAGAGGAAUUUGUUUAAUAAUUGAUAAUCCACAAUAAAUUUUACUUAAUUUAAUUAAUUUAUAUAUCGUUGUCAAAAAUUUAUCUUUAAAAAGAAUUAAAUUUUUAAAGUUAUUAAUUAGUAAAUAUGUCAAAUCAAGGUGUAGUAAAUAAUUAAGAUUUUAAUGAAUUACAAUAAAUUUAUUUAUAUGGGUUUUUAAUUGAAAUAUUAAAAUUAAAGUGGAUUUAAUAGUAAAGUUAAUUAAAUUAUUAAUUUGAAAAUAUUUUAAAAUAUGUACAUAUUGCCCGUCGCUUUCUUUUGGAAUAA
rnacentral:rRNA from 1 species